UCCCGCGUGCGGCCGGGUACCCGGAGCCGGUCCCGCGGCGUCGGGUUCGGGAGGGGGCCGUGUCCCCUCCCGGUGUUCUGGAGAGGUAGAAGCUGGGGGUUAUGGAGCGGGAAACAGGAAGUGGCUGAAGUUUUCCUAAAAGGUGGAAGAUGACUGACAGCACAAGGUCUUUAUUGGUCCAGAACAGGUGCUGCUGGGACUCGUGGUGUCAGCUGUCCUCCAGGUGCAGCAGCUGGAAGCGAGUCUUCAGGGCGUGUCCCCAACAGCCUGGAAGAGACAGAAGAAGAAAUGAGUCCACAGGUUUGUGACAAGUGAACAGUUUGAAAAUCCAUCAGUGAGUGAAGCUGCAGACAAGAAACAAUAAUCCAUUCAACAAACAGAGUGUUUCCAUGGAGAUGAUGAUGUGAAGCAGCGGUGGAAGAAGGACUCUGAACAUUUCCCUAAGCAAAAGCAGCAGCGGCACAGUGUAAAAGUACUGUGUUCGAGUCCCAGUAACAGUAUAAAGCAUCCUUUAUAUAGCGCUGGCUAUCUGAAGCUAACAUGAUCCAUCAACAUGUGAUAGUUACUGUGUGUUUGUGUUAAUAAUGUGCAGAGUGAGUAAAAAGUGCAGCAUUUGGCCUGAAA